rnacentral:sRNA from 20 species
ACACGCCGGGUGACAACCGGCCACGACGGGGAUGAUGGACGUAGCCUAUUUUGCCGGUUUCAGGCUGCGGCACCAACGCAUUGGCACGCGUUUUGUCUAACCCGUUCCCGGC